AAGCAUAUCAAUAAGCGGAGGAAAAGAAACCAACAGGGAUUGCCCUCAGUAACGGCGAGUGAAGCGGCAACAGCUCAAAUUUGAAAUCUGGCUCGGCCCGAGUUGUAAUCUGCAGAGGAGCCUUCGGACGGCGGUCCAGCCGCGGAGUUCGUUGGAACUCGGCACCGGAGAGGGUGAGAGCCCCGUGCACGGCGGGCGGAGCCCGAUCGAAGCUCCCUUGGCGAAUUCGGGUUAGUUUGGGAAUGCUGCCCAAAGCGGGAGGUAAAUUCCUUCCAAGGCUAAGUACCGGCCGGAGACCGAUAGCGCACAAGUAGAGUGAUCGAAAGAUGAAAAGCACUUUGGAAAGAGGGUCAAAAAGCACGUGAAAUUGCCGAGGGGGAAGCGCCUGCGGCCAGACUCCCGCGCGGCGGAUCAUCGGGCGCUCGCCGCCCGUGCACUCCGCCGUCCCGCGGGGGCCAGCGUCGGCCGGGGGGGGAGGAGAAAAGCCGGGGGAACGUGGCCCCUCCGGGGGUGUUACAGCCCCGCGCGCCCAAUGCCCCCCCGCCCGGCCGAGGACCGCGCCGCCCCCCUCCGGGGGGGUCCGUGGCGUAAUGGGCGAGGACGCCCGCCGGCGGCCCGUCUUGAAACACGGACCAAGGAGUCGAACGUCCGCGCGAGUGUUCGGGUGUCUAAAACCCCGGCGCGUAGUGAAAGCGAACGGAGGCGGGAGCCCCUCGCGGGCGCACCGCCGACCGAUCCCGAUGUUCCUCGGACGGAUUUGAGUAGGAGCGCGGCCGUUCGGACCCGAAAGAUGGUGAACUAUGCCUGCGUAGGGCGAAGCCAGAGGAAACUCUGGUGGAGGCUCGCAGCGGUUCUGACGUGCAAAUCGAUCGUCGAACGUGGGCAUGGGGGCGAAAGACUAAUCGAACCAUCUAGUAGCUGGUUUCCGCCGAAGUUUCCCUCAGGAUAGCAGCGCCGGCGCAAACUCACUUUUAUGAGGUAGAGCGAAUGAUUAGGGACUCGGGGGCGUCGUUAAGCCUUCAUCCAUUCUCAAACUUCGAAUGCGUAAGAGGCCCUUGUCGCUUGGCUGGACGCGGGCACCAUCGAAUGCAGCGGCGCUAGUGGGCCAUUUUUGGUAAGCAGAACUGGCGAUGCGGGAUGAACCGAACGCGGGGUUAAGGCGCCGGAGUGGACGCUCAUCAGACACCACAAAAGGCGUUGGUACAUCUUGACAGCAGGACGGUGGCCAUGGAAGUCGGAAACCGCUAAGGACUGUGUAACAACUCACCUGCCGAAUGUACCAGCCCUGAAAAUGGAUGGCGCUCAAGCGUCCCGCCCAUACCCCGCCCCCGGGCAGGAUCGACGCCC
rnacentral:rRNA from 1 species